rnacentral:rRNA from 1 species
AUUGAACGCUGGCGGCAGGCUUAACACAUGCAAGUCGAACGAGUGGCGGACGGGUGUGUAAUGCUUGGGCAUCUAGCUUACGUAGGGGGAUAACUACGGGAAACUGUAGCUACUACCGCGUACCGUAGUUUGAGCUCACGGGGGUGUAGGUAGUUGGUGAGGUAAAGGCUCACCGAGCCGACGAUCUAUAGCUGGUCUGAGAGGAUGACCAGCCAAACGGGGACUGAGACACGGCCCAGACUCCUACGGGAGGCAGCAGGGGGGAAGAUUGCGCAAUGGGGGCAACCUGACGCAGCCAUGCCGCGUGAAUGAAGAAGGCCUUCGGAUUGUAAAGUUCUGUCGGUAGAGAGGCGUUAACUACAGAAGAAGCACCGGCUAACGCCGUGCCAGCAGCCGCGGUAAUAC